GAUUCAGCCAUUAUUGUCUACAAAGAUAUGUAGGAAAGAUUUUAGACCUGAAGCUUCCACAGUGAUUUGUUGAUUGAAGGGCUUUGUGAGAAGAAAAAAAGAAGCUUUAGAGAUUAUGAGGAUUACAAUGAGAAAUGUUAGUUUUCAUUCAAGUGGGAAGAGUUAUGAGAUAUUGAUUAAGGCUUAUGCGAGGAUGCAAGGCAUAAGAAGCAUUGAAGCUUCAGGCCAAAGAUGGCAGGCAAAUGGUUUGAGUCAAAAUUCAAAGAUUUAUGAUGCUUUUAUUAAAGGAU
rnacentral:misc_RNA from 1 species